rnacentral:rRNA from 1 species
AUGAACGCUGGCGGCGUGCCUAAUCCAUGCAAGUCGCGCGAACAGACGAGGAGCUUGCUCCUCUGACGUUAGCGGCGGACGGGUGAGUAACACGUGGAUAACCUACCUAUAAGACUGGGAUAACUUCGGGAAACCGGAGCUAAUACCGGAUAACAUGUUGAACCGCAUGGUUCAACAGUGAAAGACGGUCUUGCUGUCACUUAUAGAUGGAUCCGCGCCGCAUUAGCUAGUUGGUAAGGUAACGGCUUACCAAGGCAACGAUGCGUAGCCGACCUGAGAGGGUGAUCGGCCACACUGGAACUGAGACACGGUCCAGACUCCUACGGGAGGCAGCAGUAGGGAAUCUUCCGCAAUGGGCGAAAGCCUGACGGAGCAACGCCGCGUGAGUGAAGAAGGUCUUCGGAUCGUAAAACUCUGUUAUUAGGGAAGAACAAAUGUGUAAGUAACUAUGCACGUCUUGACGGUACCUAAUCAGAAAGCCACGGCUAACUACGUG